GGUUAAAAAAUUGCUGGCAGUCAUGGAGUUAAAAGCUAGUUAAGGAUGCUGUUUUGCAGGGUGACGAUGAUGCAAAUCCAAAUGAGUUUGGUUCAAAUGGAGGAAAAAGACCCUAUACCUUAUUGCAGGGGCACUCAGGACCAGUUUAUUCAGCUUCUUUUAGUCCUAUGGGAGAUUUUAUACUUUCCUCUUCAGCCGAUUCAACAAUUCGGUUAUGGAGCACUGAACUAAAUGCAAAUCUUGUUUGCUACAAGGGUCAUAAUUACCCAGUAUGGGAUGUACAGGUAUAUCUCAUCAUUUUCAGUUGUAAAUUGUUCAUAUUAGCAGUUCUUUUGCAUCUCUGCUGUUGAUUUGACAUGAAAUGAGUGGCCAAUAUAUAUAUGUGUGUGUGUGUGCAUUCUCCUUUUUUGUUU